rnacentral:lncRNA from 1 species
CAGGAAGAGGUGAUGGGUCUGUGUCAGCAGGGUUUGCACUGGGGCGGCUCCUUCUGGUGGCCAAAGUGACCGAUCCCUGCCGGGGCUGCCCUCAGUGCACCCUGCCUCCUGCACCCAAACUGCUUUUAGCCACUUUUCUUUGGGUCACCUCACCCAGAAGGCUCUGGAGCUCUCUGUGUCAUCUGUCCCUCAAAGUUUCCAUUCCUCCUGGGACAACGAAGAAGCCACCACGUGACUCUGUACCCUGAGUGUGCAUCUCAUCAGCAACACUGCAGAACCCACAGUAACCCGGCACCAGGGCUCAUGGGAGCAUCUGGUUUAGUCUGAGCUCUGUGCAAGACAUUGGAAAGAUGAAUGCGAUGCCCUUUCCCAAUAAUUCUAAGUUUCUGCUGUGUUUUGAGACCCUCGAAUUGUCAAGGCCACAGAAGUGAAAAGCAUCGUUAUUAUUUACUGUCAUAAUUGCCAUCUGCCUGGCUCUCUGCUGACACCCAAGGCCCCUCAUCCAUCUCUAUGAGUAUCAAACAGAUUAGCAUUGCUUAAGACAGAAAAUACUUCACGAAAGAUUCAUAGAAAGAUGCACCCUGAGCCCACCUCCUUGGUGUACAGCAUCAUCGAGCGGACUGACAUAAAGCAAGUUGUCCCAAGGCUUGGGGCUCUGUGGGAAGAACUUACAUACAGCUCCCUCUCAUCUCCGUCCCAGCCUCGGCCUCUCAUCUCCCGCUUUCUAAGUGCAGCCGCCUGCCCCACUCCUCAGCGACCUUGUGGCCGCAUUCACCCUGUGUCCCAGAG